rnacentral:rRNA from 1 species
UACAGAGGUCUCAAGCGUUGUUCGGAUUCAUUGGGCGUAAAGGGUGCGUAGGCGGCGCGGUAAGUCGGGUGUGAAAUCUUGGAGCUUAACUCCGAAACUGCAUUCGAUACUGCCGUGCUUGAGGACUGGAGAGGAGACUGGAAUUUACGGUGUAGCAGUGAAAUGCGUAGAUAUCGUAAGGAAGACCGGUGGCGAAGGCUAGUCUCUGGACAGUUACUGACACUGAGGCACGAAGGCCAGGGGAGCAAACGGG